CCUCGACAAUUUUUUAUUUUUUUUUGUCAUUUCUGUUUCAUUUUUUAAAAAAAGUUUUCCAUGAAUCUAAUACUAUUCCAUACACAAGAGAAUAUGACCUGUGGCAGGAGUAAACAGGUGAAUGCAAACUUUUUUUAAAAAAAGUCUUAAGUUAAAAAAGGUAAUGAAUGAAAUGGAAACAAGUCAAUCAAAUAUGUUUUCAUCAAGUUUGCAUUUUCAUUGUUUUUAAAAUAUUUUUUCCAAUAAAUCUGGCCACUCUUCCUGCCACUUGAUUUAUUUUAUACAUUCAAAGCAACAUUGCUACAAACCAGGACACUAGUUGCAGUGAACAUGAAAUGAUUCAAAUAUCCAAAUCAUGAAGCGAACAUCUCAUUAAAUAAUAAUAAUAAAAGAACGUUCAUAUCACUAGAGCGCUUUCAAAGAUCAACAUAAACAAACACAAAAUCAAUACAUUUGAGCAGCCCCCCCCCCUAACUCUCCCCC